rnacentral:rRNA from 1 species
AUUGAACGCUGGCGGAAUGCUUUACACAUGCAAGUCGAACGGUAGAGGGGGCAACCCCUUGAGAGUGGCGAACGGGUGAGUAAUAUAUCGGAACGUGCCCAGUCGUGGGGAUAACGUAGCGAAAGUUACGCUAAUACCGCAUACGAUCUAAGGAUGAAAGCGGGGGAUCGCAAGACCUCGCGCGAUUGGAGCGGCCGAUAUCAGAUUAGGUAGUUGGUGAGGUAAAGGCUCACCAAGCCAACGAUCUGUAGCUGGUCUGAGAGGACGACCAGCCACACUGGAACUGAGACACGGUCCAGACUCCUACGGGAGGCAGCAGUGGGAAUUUUGGACAAUGGACGCAAGUCUGAUCCAGCCAUUCCGCGUGCAGGAUGAAGGCCCUCGGGUUGUAAACUGCUUUUGUAGGGAACGAAAAGGUUGUCUAAUAGAUGAGCUCAUGACGUACCGUAAGAAUAAGCACCGGCUAAC